rnacentral:rRNA from 1 species
UACACUCCUGCGGGAGGCAGCAGUGGGGAAUAUUGGACAAUGGGCGCAAGCCUGAUCCAGCCAUGCCGCGUGAGUGAUGAAGGCCCUAGGGUUGUAAAGCUCUUUCACCGGUGAAGAUAAUGACGGUAACCGGAGAAGAAGCCCCGGCUAACUUCGUGCCAGCAGCCGCGGUAAUACGAAGGGGGCUAGCGUUGUUCGGAUUUACUGGGCGCAAAGCGCACGUAGGCGGACUAUUAAGUCAGGGGUGAAAUCCCGGGGCUCAACCCCGGAACUGCCUUUGAUACUGGUAGUCUUGAGUUCGAGAGAGGGGAGUGGAAUUCCGAGUGUAGAGGUGAAAUUCGUAGAUAUUCGGAGGAACACCAGUGGCGAAGGCGGCUCACUGGCUCGAUACUGACGCUGAGGUGCGAAAGCGUGGGGAGCAAACAGGAUUAGAAACCCGAGUAGUCCCA